GAGAUUGUACCCUGAACAUCUCUAAGUCUGUAGAUUUCCUUACUAUUUUUUUACUCCAAGAAAAUGGCCCCUGCUGUAUACUGCCUACUUAGUAAAGCUAAGAAAAAUAGAAAAAACAAGGACAACAUGCAAGAAAAGAAACAAAGACUUAGUAUCAGGCUUAGUGUGGAUCAUACCAGGAGAGUAUGGAGUCUUCCAGAGAAGCCACUUCUCUUCCAAUAUGUCCACGAAGAAGCCCAGCUGGAACACACAGAGAACAUCAAUUUGCCCAGGCAGAAAGGAGGGCAGAACUGGGGCAAAGAGGAAAACAACAUAUGUUUCAAUAGCAGGAAUAGCUUUGUGAUACUUGACUGCCAUUCAGCAGUGAAAUAAACAUCCUUGUCAGAAUGA